AUGCAUUACACACACAGACACACAUACACAAGCAAUGCAACCGUUACACACAAUGCAUCCCUUACACACACAGAAACACACAAUGCAUUCAUUACACACACUCAAUGCACCCCUUACACACAUUCAAUGCAUCCCAUACAUACACAGAAACACACCUUGCAGCCCUUACACAUACAAUCACAAUUUCACACACUGCAUUCCUUACACACAUAUCAGGACAUCCCCUACACACUCCACCCCCUGUGAACAAACUCAUUGGUGGAACAUGAAGGUGGACCCUGGGACCCAG